rnacentral:lncRNA from 1 species
GAUCUUCAAACUUCGUUAGAAGAAUCAGCUAAUUCUAUUUAAAAUAUUAAAUCAUCAUCAAUUUCUAUUCAAUGAAUAUAAUAAAAUUAAAUCAUAAGGAAAGAGGAUUGUUGACUGGAUGUGUCGGACCAUCCAGACACCAGGGCAAAUCAGGGUCUCCGAGCUGAAGGUCAGAUUUAAGUGACUUGAUCAAAGAAUCGU